rnacentral:rRNA from 1 species
CAGUAGCCGCGGUAAUACGUAGGUGGCAAGCGUUGUCCGGAAUUAUUGGGCGUAAAGGGCUCGUAGGCGGUCUCUUAAGUCUGAUGUGAAAGCCCCCGGCUCAACCGGGGAGGGUCAUUGGAAACUGGGAAACUUGAGUGCAGAAGAGGAGAGUGGAAUUCCACGUGUAGCGGUGAAAUGCGUAGAGAUGUGGAGGAACACCAGUGGCGAAGGCGACUCUCUGGUCUGUAACUGACGCUGAGGAGCGAAAGCGUGGGGAGCGAACAGGAUUAGAUACCCCUGUAGUCCCUGUCUCUUAUAC